AGAGUUUGAUCCUGGCUCAGAUUGAACCGCUGGCGGCAGGCCUAACACAUGCAAGUCGAGCGGUAGAGAGAAGCUUGCUUCUCUUGAGAGCGGCGGACGGGUGAGUAAUGCCUAGGAAUCUGCCUGGUAGUGGGGGAUAACGUUCGGGAACGGACGCUAAUACCGCAUACGUCCUACGGGAGAAAGCAGGGGACCUUCGGGCCUUGCGCUAUCAGAUGAGCCUAGGUCGGAUUACUAGUUGGUGAGGUAAUGGCUCACCAAGGCGACGAUCCGUAACUGGUCUGAGAGGAUGAUCAGUCACACUGGAACUGAGACACGGUCCAGACUCCUACGGGAGGCAGCAGUGGGGAAUAUUGGACAAUGGGCGAAAGCCUGAUCCAGCCAUGCCGCGUGUGUGAAGAAGGUCUUCGGAUUGUAAAGCACUUUAAGUUGGGAGGAAGGGCAGUAAAUUAAUACUUUGCUGUUUUGACGUUACCGACAGAAUAAGCACCGGCUAACUCUGUGCCAGCAGCCGCGGUAAUACAGAGGGUGCAAGCGUUAAUCGGAAUUACUGGGCGUAAAGCGCGCGUAGGUGGUUUGUUAAGUUGGAUGUGAAAUCCCCGGGCUCAACCUGGGAACUGCAUUCAAAACUGAUAAGCUAGAGUAUGGUAGAGGGUGGUGGAAUUUCCUGUGUAGCGGUGAAAUGCGUAGAUAUAGGAAGGAACACCAGUGGCGAAGGCGACCACCUGGACAGAUACUGACACUGAGGUGCGAAAGCGUGGGGAGCAAACAGGAUUAGAUACCCAGGUAGUCCACGCCGUAAACGAUGUCAACUAGCCGUUGGGAGCCUUGAGCUCUUAGUGGCGCAGCUAACGCAUUAAGUUGACCGCCUGGGGAGUCCGGCCGCAAGGUUAAAACUCAAAGGAAUUGACGG
rnacentral:rRNA from 1 species